rnacentral:rRNA from 1 species
UCCUACGGGAGGCAGCAGUGGGGAAUCUUGCGCAAUGGGCGAAAGCCUGACGCAGCCAUGCCGCGUGAAUGAUGAAGGUCUUAGGAUUGUAAAAUUCUUUCACCGGGGACGAUAAUGACGGUACCCGGAGAAGAAGCCCCGGCUAACUUCGUGCCAGCACCCGCGGUAAUA